UAGUCCACGCCGUAAACGAUGUGUGCUAGAUGUCGGGUCCAUAGGAUUCGGUGUCGCAGCUAACGCACUAAGCACACCGCCUGGGGAGUACGGUCGCAAGAUUAAAACUCAAAGGAAUUGACGGGGACCCGCACAAGCGGUGGAGCAUGUUGUUUAAUUCGACGCAACGCGAAGAACCUUACCUACACUUGACAUACUCGUCGGGACUUUCAGAGAUGAUUGUCUUCGGUUCGGCCGGACGAUGUACAGGUGCUGCACGGCUGUCGUCAGCUCGUGUCGUGAGAUGUUUGGUUAAGUCCCAUAACGAGCGCAACCCCUAUCCUUAGUUGCCAGCGGGUCAUGCCGGGGACUCUGAGGAGACUGGCCACCGUAAGGUGUGAGGAAGGUGGGGAUGACGUCAAAUCAGCACGGCCCUUAUGUCCAGGGCUACACACGUGUUACAAUGGACGGUACAGAGGGUUGCCAAGCCGCGAGGUGGAGCUAAUCUCAUAAAACCGAUCGUAGUCCGGAUUGGACG
rnacentral:rRNA from 1 species